CUAUUUUCUACCACAAUCAGUAUUACCUUCUUUUUAUUUCCAGGCCUUAUCAAGGGGACAAAUGCAGAGUCUGCUGUUUACAGGCACCUGGUUUCAGAAGAGUUUCUUCUUCCAAUCCUACUCUUGAGAUGGGUAUAAGUGCACAUGCACAGUGUUACACUCCCAGUGUUUGCUUUGGAGAGUCAGUUCUGAAACGAAGAACAUCUUUGGACCUGCCUUUCUGAUCUCUGUGUGAAUCACUGAACACUCCCCAAUAAAGAGUUGUAGAGGAGGAUCUGCUCACUGCUUUAUCUCCAUGGGACUCCUCAGGCCUGAUGGAUGUGGAACAUCUUUGUGAAGCUUUGAAAAAUCACGAAGGUGCGACAGCACUUGAUGCAGAGCAGGUUGAUUGUGGCUGUCCCUGCCCUCUCUUCUUUCCCUCGACUCCUUAACAGAAACAUCACAACUUACACCAAAAUAUACAUAGUGUGAUACAUAGUGCCCUCUGAGUUGCUUGCUGAAAAAUUGCUACUGAAGUAGUUUUGAGGAUCCAUGUAUCAUGGAACCAUGGUACCAUGCCUUUUUUUUUUUUAUUUAUGUAGUCCUGGUAAUGAACUGCAAUCCUCAGUGUCUCAAUGUCCUCUCUCACCUCUAUUUUCAUAAAUGUUUCCCAGUACCUGUUCUAUCCUGUAACACC